rnacentral:misc_RNA from 1 species
AGACACCACGAGCUUGUUCCAGUUUUCUUUGCAUAAGAUAGAAUUGUCCUAGAUUAUGAAGGGCUGCCGCAACUCGUACAUCUUCUUGUCCAAAUGAUUCCUCGAGUAUUUUGAUUGCUUCCAAGUACAUAGGUUCUGCUUUAUCAAAUGCCUUUUUCACUCUAUAUAGCUCUGCCAGAUUGUUGUAAGCAGAUGCAACAUGUGGAUCCCUAUCUCCAAAACCUUCUUUAGCUUCUUGCAAUGCAGCCAGGAACAGUUUUUCAGCUUUCUUAAGUUUUCCCUGUAAAAAGAAAUCCCUUCCACUGUCUGUAAAAACUCUCCAUUUGGAUGUGUGUAUAUUAGAUACUACAGACCCAUCCUCAAUUUUGCGCAAGCCACUGAUUUCGACAUCAAUUCCAUCAGAAACCUCUUCUGCCAAGGCAGGACUGACAUUUACUCCAAGGAUUACGGCAGCUGGUCCAAACAGAAAAAUCCAUCGAAAUGAGUCUGAAAAGUACCCUCCAGAACCAAGCUCACUGGAAAAUCUACAUUGUCCAGCAUUGGGUAGCAAAACAGGGGAACUUCUGUGAAGUGGAGUAGCAGCAAGAAAUUUAGGGGAAAUUCGAAAUCUUUUAAUUAAACUAGCAGAAGCUUGUCUGAGAAGCAUCAUUCGAGUAAUCGAACAGUUCAAUUUUAGAAGAAAUUAUAGAAAGA